GGGGCAACCCUGAUCCAGCCAUGCCGCGUGUGUGAAGAAGGCCUUUUGGUUGUAAAGCACUUUAAGCAGUGAAGAAGACUCCAUGGUUAAUACCCAUGGACGAUGACAUUAGCUGCAGAAUAAGCACCGGCUAACUCUGUGCCAGCAGCCGCGGUAAUACAGAGGGUGCAAGCGUUAAUCGGAAUUACUGGGCGUAAAGCGAGCGUAGGUGGCUUGAUAAGUCAGAUGUGAAAUCCCCGGGCUUAACCUGGGAACUGCAUCUGAUACUGUUAGGCUAGAAUAGGUGAGAGGAAGGUAGAAUUCCAGGUGUAGCGGUGAAAUGCGUAGAGAUCUGGAGGAAUACCGAUGGCGAAGGCAGCCUUCUGGCAUCAUAUUGACACUGAGGUUCGAAAGCGUGGGUAGCAAACAGGAUUAGAUACCCUGGUAGUCCACGCCGUAAACGAUGUCUACUAGUCGUUGGGUCCCUUGAGGACUUAGUGACGCAGCUAACGCAAUAAGUAGACCGCCUGGGGAGUACGGCCGCAAGGUUAAAACUCAAAUGAAUUGACGGGGGCCCGCACAAGCGGUGGAGCAUGUGGUUUAAUUCGAUGCAACGCGAAGAACCUUACCUGGUCUUGACAUAUCUAGAAUCCUGCAGAGAUGCGGGAGUGCCUUCGGGAAUUAGAAUACAGGUGCUGCAUGGCUGUCGUCAGCUCGUGUCGUGAGAUGUUGGGUUAAGUCCCGCAACGAGCGCAACCCUUGUCCUUAGUUACCA
rnacentral:rRNA from 1 species